rnacentral:lncRNA from 1 species
UUGGAUCUGCAGUUGAGGUAAAUAGGACCAAGUUGUGCUCAACGUCGCCUUCUGAAAAUUCUCCUCCACUCACAUAAUCUUCCAUCCAGAAUGGUACUCUUCUGUUCCUCCCUUGUUGUGAGCUUGGUGAGCUUUCUCCAGAUACUCCUGAAUUUUCACCAAGUGACUCACUCAAAGAACCAAGUGACUCACUCGAAGACAAGCUGUCCUCUCUUUCUCUUCCCUCUACUGCCACCCCCUCUUCAGCGUCAUCUUCACUCCCUUCUUCAUUGCUAUCUCCCCAUUCAAGCACAUCAAGUCUUACUUCUUCAUUA